UAACCUGCCCAAGAGAUCGGGAUAACACCUGGAAACAGAUGCUAAUACCGGAUAACAACAGAUGAUGCCUAUCAACUGUUUAAAAGAUGGUUCUGNUAUCACUCUUGGAUGGACCUGCGGUGCAUUAGCUAGUUGGUAGGGUAACGGCCUACCAAGGCGAUGAUGCAUAGCCGAGUUGAGAGACUGAUCGGCCACAUUGGGACUGAGACACGGCCCAAACUCCUACGGGAGGCAGCAGCC
rnacentral:rRNA from 1 species